CGGGGUGUAGCGCAGCUUGGCUAGCGCGCUUGAAUGGGGUUCAAGAGGUCGUGGGUUCAAAUCCCGCCA
rnacentral:tRNA from 1 species